rnacentral:rRNA from 1 species
GACGAACGCUGGCGGCGUGCUUAACACAUGCAAGUCGAACGAAGUGGCGAACGGGUGAGUAAUACGUGGGUACCCUGCCCUCCUUUUUGGGAUAAGCCUUGGACACGGGGUCUAAUACCGAAUAAAGGUGGAUGGGCUCGCGGCCUAUCAGCUUGUUGGUGGGGUGAUGGCCUACCAAGGCGGUGCCGGGUAGCCGGCCUGAGAGGGUGGCCGGGAACAUUGGGACUGAGAGACGGCCAAGAGUCCGACGGGAGGGAGCAGUGGGGGCUAUUGCGCAAUGGGCGAAAGCCUGAUGCGGCGACGCCGCGUGGGGGGUGGAGGCUUUCGGGUUGUAAACCUCUUUCGGUCUCGAAAGGGUAGGUGGAGAAGAAGCGCCGGCUAACUACGUGCCAGCAGCCGCGGUAAUAC